GGGGACGAUUUGGUUUCGACGGGGAUAUUUAGGAGCAUGAACUGGCGAGUCGGGGAUUACGGUAACCUCGUUACGAAUGCCGUGAAAAUUUAAUUGCCAACAACAAUUACGCAUACGCCGCUUAACCAGUAGUGGCAGGUCCGACUGACUGUUAAUCGUCUCAGUUUGUUAGGACCUCAAUUAGACGAUUGGGCUGUCCACAGUGCCGUUGGGUGGACGGCGGGAUCAAGGCGGCUGGGUGGAAUUACAGCGUGUCGCUUCGCGGUUUUUCCGCCAAGAUCAAAUAAACGACUAUACUCGUAGAAGGUUUUUGAACCUUGUUUCCGGACCCGGGUUCGAUUCCCGGCGUCUCCACAA
rnacentral:tmRNA from 1 species